GGACCUCCAAUCAGUCAAGA
rnacentral:rRNA from 1 species